rnacentral:rRNA from 1 species
AUGAAAAUGAUGAGUUGGAACUAUCGAGGCUUGGGUCAGCCUCGUACAGUUCAAGAGUUGGUGUGCCUCUCUAAGACGCACAGACCCGAUGUUAUCUUUUUAUCUGAAACAAGGAAAAAUAAAGAGUAUGUUGAGAGUUUGCGCUACAGGUUGGGUAUGAAUAAUGUGUUUACUGUUUCUGGCCAUGGUAAAGGUGGAGGACUAGCUGUGUUUUGGGAUGAGGCC